GUUUCUCAUGGCAGGAUAAAAGAGGCUUUCUCUCCAUGAAAACUGUUUUGCCUGACUAAUGCCUGACUCCCAGACCGUGAGUAAGGUGUCCUGGAAGGAAAUCAAAAUAUCCCUGGUCUCCAAACAGUGUCAUCCAUUGUCCACACAUGGGGCACCAAUGGCCUGACCAAUGGUGCCGCUAGUGGCUGCAUAAGGAAAGGCAGAGUGAGAGGAAG